GGGCAUCCGUAGUGUACCACAGAAAGGCUUUGUCAUUUUUAAACCCAUUCAAUAAUUUCAAGUCUAAAGCGUGUUCAAGAUUGUUCUUCAGAGUUGCAAAAGCCAAACUGAAGAAGUUAGGAUGUGCUAGGAUUGUAACUUUACUUUGAGUCGCUUUGGAGUUCUUUUUUGGACAGCAUUUUCCCUGUCAUGUAUGUGUGUGUUUACUUGGACACACAAUCGAAAUGGCAGCCGUCUGGGAAACGCUGGCCAAAGCCCUAGAAAUGCUAACAUAUUUCCAGUGGUUUCAAUUUGUCUUCACAGGAGCAAAAUUAUUUUUGGCUUGUUAAACAUGUGUAAAUGAUCGUAGUAGUGCUAAACAAAGCUUAUUUGAGAAGUCUGCGGGUGCAGAGAGUUCUGUUAGCGCUUUGUGGUUGAUGGUUUAGAGUCCCCUUUUACCAAGGUGACGAGGCAUCCAGGCCCAUGAGUGCAUGGAGAAAGAGCCUCUGGUCAUUUCUGUCCCUAAGAGUCUUCAAUGUCAUCGUAGGUGGCUGUAAAGCAACUUAAUCUCCAGCACCAGGGCUGCGAGGACGUACUGAAAGAAAUCCUGGUCAUGAGUGAAAAUAAGAACGCCAAUAUUGUCACCUACCUAGAAAGCUACCUUGUCAAUGAGGCUGUCCUGCUGGUCUUGGAGUAUAUGGAUGGAGGCUCCUUAGGUGAUGUGGUCAGCGUGAGAAGGAUGGCUGUAGGACACAUAGCAACAGUGUGUCGGGAGUGCCUGCAAGGCCUGGCUUUCCUUCAUGCCAACCAGGUGAUCCAUAGAGAUAUCAAAAGUGACAACAUCCUUCUGGGCCGGGAUGGCUCCGUCAAGUUGGCUGAUUUUGGCCUCUGUGCUCUGCUCAGCCCUGAGCAGAGGAAACGGAGGUCGAUGGUCGGGACCACUUGCUGGAUGGCACCCGAGGUUGUGAGAAGAGAGCCUUACGGCCCCAAAGUGGACACCUGGUCCCUUGGCAUCGUGGGAAUAGAAAUGGCCACAGGAGAGCCUCCUUAUGUUCGGGAAACCAGUGACAGGGCCAACUUCCUGAUAGGCAAGCAAGGGGUACCAGACCUGCACAAGCUCAGGCUACCCCCUGGCUUGUGUGAAUUUCUGGGCUGCUGCCUGCAGAUGGAUGUGGACAGGCGAGGCUCUGCCAAGGAACUUCUGCAGCAUCCAUUUCUGCAAUCAGCGGAGCCUCUCUUAAGCCUCUUCUGACAGCCUUGAUUGCUGUCCUCCCUGCAGCCAGGUAAUGCAGGAAGCAAAAGAGAUGAGAAGGACCACCUGAGCACUUGGAGAACAGAGCCUCUGAGAGCAGGUAGAAAUCCUGAGGAGAGAGGGGCCAGGCAACAGGCAGCCAUCAGAGCAGGAAAGGAAGGUGGCAUCCCCUUUUCUCCCACCUGCUGAUCCUCCUUCUGCAUUUCUGCUUAGGACAGCAUUGCUGGAGGCCACAGAGUCACUACUGAUGUGCACUUUUCAGGAGCUGGAAGGGCAGCGUUUGGAGGCACAGCAGCUGCUGGCACAAGGGGCAAACUUCCUGGAUGAGGUAGAGAAGAAGCAGGAGGAAAGGCUGCUUGAGACGAAGCAGGAAGUUGCCACCAUGCAAGCUGAAUGA